rfam:Hordeum vulgare subsp. vulgare, WGS project CAJW01000000 data, contig: morex_contig_6600
AAGGUACUCCCUCCGUCCCAAAAUAAGUGUCUCAACUUAGUAUAAAGUUGAGACACUUAUUUUGGGACGGAGGGAGUACUUU